CCAGACAACAUAAAAAUAAUAUAUCUGGCAGCCGAUACAGUGAUUUGUCAAAAAGUUAUGUUUAUUGUUUACUGCUAGUUUUUAUUUCUGUAGACGAAAAGUCGAUUUUCUGGUGCGUCGUAGCGGAUACAUUCGGAAUAUAUCCGGGAUCACGUUCGUCAACAGCAACAUCACUGACCUCGCUCCUGACAUGGCAUAUGAAUGCUGAUCCGAAUCUGAAAGCAGAAAAGGAAAUAUGCUACCAGCUCCCCGUGUCCGUAGCAAUGUUUCUUGAUGCGCGUAGGUCGUAGGCGCUAAGAUUUUCCCUAUGCUAUGGGAGAUGAAACUCUUUUCGAUGACAAAAAGAAAUGGCAUAUCCAGAUCUUUUUCCAUGGCGGAAGAAAGCGACAAAAAGGCCGGCACAGUAUCAGCGGAUCAGGAAGAUGCACAAAUCGACUGUCAACACCGAUUCCAAGUUAUCGCUCCAGUGGAAAGUGAUUACGACCAGCAGAAUCUAUUGGUCAACACCAAAAAAGACCAACAAAAAGCGUCGUCGGGACGACGACGGAGGACAUUUCCAGCGAUUUUGAAGCAUACGGCCUUUCUUGGCAUCAAAGGAGCUCGUAUCCAUUCGUUGCGACGGGUAAUGACGACCUACGAGAAGAUCGCACAGAUAAUCUGAAAUUAAGCCGCUAAAUGGUACCCUUCUUACCUCGGAAAAAAUUUCCGUCGGAUUUUGAGUCCUGCAGGGUUUAUGUGUAUUUUAAAUGGGGUCAAAAUCAAAAUCCCGGUUUAUUUAAAAUGCACGGGGACCGAAAUCCGCCGGACAAUUUUCCCGAGGUGUAAGGUAGCCUUGAAAACCGCUUUCGAACUGAUGACUUUUUUCGACUCGGCUAACAAGAGUGAAUUAGUCGACGUCAUCAUCAUCACGGUCUACCGGAAGGGGCACAUCUGGAUACACACGUACUGUGAAGAUGAGUCGAGGAGCGUUUCGUAAAGUUCGCUCCAGCACCAUGGAGUGCAGUUAGCUGGAGACCAAGGAUUCGGAAUCGCAGGAAGAGAAAAAGAAAUGAUUGUCCGCCUUCGGAGGAGGCAUGCGACUUAUGCGACUUUACCGGUGAGUGCAGUUAGCUGCAAAGCAAGGAUUCGGAAUCGCAGGAAGACAAAAAAGAAAUGAUGGUCCGCUUUCGGAGGAGGCAUGCGACUUUACCGGCUUUCUAUGUCGCAACCAAGGCGAUCGGACGGACGACGAAGACGAACGGAGCUGGAGCAAUAAGCUGACGCUGAGCUAACCGUGACCACAUCAACAACGGGGGCAAUGGACGUAGCUACAGCGGUGGCAACUAUCACAAAAGUGGUGGACGGGAUGGGAUCACCAUAUCAGAACCGAGACGGAUCGAAUGCGCACAUUUGCAUUACUCGAACCAAGGCGACGACGAUAUGGCAAGCAACUUGGAUCUAAAAUGAAAACCGUAACACACAAAAAUGAAUAGAAUGGUAUCAAUAAAUA